rnacentral:rRNA from 1 species
CACGUAGGGCGCAAGCGUUGUCCGGAAUUAUUGGGCGUAAAGAGCUCGUAGGCGGUCUGUUGCGUCCGCUGUGAAAACUCGGGGCUUAACCCCGAGCCUGCAGUGGAUACGGGCAGGCUAGAGUUCGGUAGGGGAGAUCGGAAUUCCUGGUGUAGCGGUGAAAUGCGCAGAUAUCAGGAGGAACACCGGUGGCGAAGGCGGAUCUCUGGGCCUGCACUGACGCUCAUGCACGAAAGCGUGGGGAGCAAACAGG